rnacentral:ncRNA from 1 species
ACGCGAGGGGAAUCUGAAGGAAGGUGGCGGCAAACCUCUGGUCUGACGGACAGAAAUCACAUCAGGCUCUGGUUGAGGAUAAGGUCGCUAAACAGACCGAAGUCCAAUUACUACUCGGAAUCAACUAUAGUAAAUGUGGCAGAUAUGUGGAGAGAAAGUAAC